rnacentral:rRNA from 1 species
AUUGAACGCUGGCGGCAUGCUUUACACAUGCAAGUCGAACGGUAGAGGGGCAACCCUUGAGAGUGGCGAACGGGUGAGUAAUGCAUCGGAACGUGCCCAGUAGUGGGGGAUAGCCCGGCGAAAGCCGGAUUAAUACCGCAUGAGACCUGAGGGUGAAAGCGGGGGACUCGAAAGGGCCUCGCGCUAUUGGAGCGGCCGAUGUCAGAUUAGCUAGUUGGUGGGGUAAAGGCCUACCAAGGCGACGAUCUGUAGCUGGUCUGAGAGGACGACCAGCCACACUGGGACUGAGACACGGCCCAGACUCCUACGGGAGGCAGCAGUGGGGAAUUUUGGACAAUGGGCGCAAGCCUGAUCCAGCCAUGCCGCGUGCGGGAAGAAGGCCUUCGGGUUGUAAACCGCUUUUGUCAGGGAAGAAAUCUUCUGGGUUAAUACCCUGGGAGGAUGACGGUACCUGAAGAAUAAGCACCGGCUAACUACGUGCCAGCAGCCGCUGUAAGAC